GAGCAUCUCUGGGCCUUGAGCCUGUGGAUACCGUCUUAGCAUGGGCAGUGUCCUUGCAAUGGUGGUGGGUCUCACGUCUAACCCGUAAACAUCUGUGCUCCCAUCUGAUGCUGGUGAGAGGAGCAGCCCUGUGCCAUCCAGGCUUGGAAGACAAGGGCGAAGUGUGUGCACACUCUCUCAGCCUUCUAGGAGCAGCAUUGCCUGCUUCUGAAGGUACCGCUGUUCAGCGAGGAUUGGUACGGUGUGUGAUCCCAGGAGAACUGCGGUGGGCGAGUGGCUGACACCACUGUGCACCAGCAGCCAUUGCUGUGGUGGUGGAAGGCAACUUCCCAAGCUUUUAGAGGAAAAGGGGAUCUCUGAAGAACUGCCUCGGGAGUGCUGACUAAAUAAAAAUUACGCUUUUAAAUCGCCAGUUAGUAAGCUUGCUUUCUGUGGUUCCCUGGAGAUGAUGGAGCUUGUUUCUGCUCUGUCUUUGGUGAAACCUCAUUGAAGAGCACAAAGUGGGGCUCCUGCUAAGACAAAGCAUCUCCCUGGGCUGUUACAAGCAGGCAGGCUGCUGAGAGGAGGUUCUGGCACACGGAGAGCCUGUGCAUCCUCUCGGUGUGGUGGUGGGUGUCAUCCCAGGAGGGCCAGUU